rnacentral:rRNA from 1 species
AUUGAACGCUGGCGGCAUGCCUUACACAUGCAAGUCGAACGGCAGCACGGGAGCAAUCCUGGUGGCGAGUGGCGAACGGGUGAGUAAUAUAUCGGAACGUGCCCAGUAGUGGGGGAUAACUGCUCGAAAGAGCAGCUAAUACCGCAUACGACCUGAGGGUGAAAGGGGGGGAUCGCAAGACCUCUCGCUAUUGGAGCGGCCGAUAUCAGAUUAGCUAGUUGGUGGGGUAAAGGCCUACCAAGGCAACGAUCUGUAGUUGGUAUGAGAGGACGACCAGCCACACUGGGACUGAGACACGGCCCAGACUCCUACGUGAGGCAGCAGUGGGGAAUUUUGGACAAUGGGCGCAAGCCUGAUCCAGCAAUGCCGCGUGCAGGAAGAAGGCCUUCGGGUUGUAAACUGCUUUUGUCAGGGAAGAAAUCCUCUAGGUUAAUACCCUUGGGGGGAUGACGGUACCUGAAGAAUAAGCACCGGCUAACUACGUGCCAGCCGCCGCGGUAAAAC